AAGGUCCUAGCUUAAUGAAAGUGUUUGAGUUGCAUUCAAAGGAUGCAGGUUAGUGUCCUGCGGAUCUUA
rnacentral:tRNA from 1 species